rnacentral:lncRNA from 1 species
AUGGCUUUUAAGGAUACAGGAAAAACACCCUUGGAGCCGGAGGUGACAAUUCACUGAAUUCGAAUCACUCUAACGAGCUGCAAUGUAAAAUCUCUGGAGAAGGUGUGAGCUGACUUGAUCAGAGGAGGAAAGGAAAAGAAUCUCGAAGUGAAAGGACAAGUUCGAAUGCCUACCAAGAGUUUGAGAAUCACUACAAGAAAAAAUCCUUGUGGUGAAGGUUCUAAGACAUGGGAUCAUUUCGGGAUGAGAAUCCACAAGCGACUCAUUGACUUGCACAGUCCUUUUGAGAUUGUUAAGCAGAUGACUUCAGUAUUGAGCCAGGAGUUAAAGUGGAAGUCACCAUUGCGGAU